rnacentral:lncRNA from 1 species
UUAUUUAUCAUAGAAACACAGAAACGCGUAUGGAGAGAUGACUGUUCAGAUUCUGUUUGGCUGGUGCUCGUCUUGCCAUUCGCUUGUCAGAUAUUUUGAAACUUUGUGGUUUCCUCUGAGCCACCUCCCUGCAGAUUGAACUAAGAUACAUUGACCAUAGUUGCAAUGGAUAUGAGAAUAGGCUGCUUGACCAUCACCUGGACCUGGAAGUGGAUAAAUCCCCUUUCACAUCAUGGUUACUGUGUAACUGCUACAUGCUUACUACAGAAAGAACUUUUGUUACUUCAAAUGAAAAGACACUUAUGGCAACUGGGAGAAGGAAGCUGGACAGUGUGACAGUAGUUAUAGAGUGAGUAAUGUUUUGAUUUCAUGUUUUUCAAGUAUAAGAUCUUAACGUCUUUGCAAAGCAUGGUUAUACUCCACCC